rnacentral:piRNA from 1 species
GAGUUCAGGCUGAGUCUUAAUGAUGUGU